UACGUAGGGGGCGAGCGUUGUCCGGAUUUAUUGGGCGUAAAGGGCUCGUAGGCGGCCAACUAAGUCGGAUGUGAAAUCCCCAGGCUUAACCUGGGAACUGCAUCCGAUACUGGAUGGCUUGAAUCCGGGAGAGGGAUGCAGAAUUCCAGGUGUAGCGGUGAAAUGCGUAGAUAUCUGGAGGAAUACCGGUGGCGAAGGCGGCAUCCUGGACCGGCAUUGACGCUGAGUGAGCGAAAGCCAGGGGAGCAAACGGG
rnacentral:rRNA from 1 species